CUCCAGGACUUUCUCAAGUCCAUCAAAAUGUGAGAAGCAUUGAUGU
rfam:Gorilla gorilla gorilla genomic chromosome, chr1, whole genome shotgun sequence